CUUGAGGGGGAGUGUUAGAUAUGUAAUUAUAGUAGAACUCUAGUCCAAAGUGUAUUAGGAGUUGGUUAGGUUAUGUGUAUUAUAUAUAGGGCUCAUUGUAUCGUGUUUAAUAUCAAGAGUUAUAUUUUUCUCCCGUGCUUUCUCACAAUCAUUAUUUAUGUGGAUAUUAUAAGUGUCAUAUAAGCACUUAAUCUAGGUUAUUUAAGUUUAUUGAGUUUUCAAAUACUUUAUUAUAAUUUUUUCCUAGGGGAACUUCUUGAAUAUGGUCUGCUAUGUUUCCUGUUUUUACUGUCUUCUGCUCUUUUCAGUUAUAAAUAUAGCAGGGAAAAAGAAAAUAUAUGUCACUAUGUAUUGUGAAACCUAAGUUUUAAGAAGAUCGUACUCAAACUUUGAAGCAUGGAUGGAUCUUUAGGAUUUCCCAUCCUGAUGUAUCAGUAAUGUACAAGUGCUCAUUAACAAUAAUGUCUCUCUCAUUCAGUAUUAACGUAUAGAGGAGAUCAACAAAUUAUCCUAUAACCUCCUUUACUUUCUGUUUUCUGUCAUAUAAGAUGGAUGUGAGCCUUAUAGGUAGAGGCAAAACUAAUUAAGACUGAGCAUACAUGCCCCAGGAAGUCCAUUUCUCAUAAUCUGAUGGUCUCAGAGAAACAGGCAUUGAUGAAUUUUUUAAGAGUGAUAAAUUUUGAGACAGGUUUUUAGAGGAACUGUGAAAGCAAAGAUAAAAACCGGCGGUCUAACUUAGGAAUGAAUGUACGGCUUCAAACUCUGCCACGAACAAAAGCCUGAGAUUUGGAGAAGGGUAGAGGAGUCAGGAGUGAACCCAUUGUCCACCGAUUUUUGAACUUUGUGCCACUGGCUCUGGAGGAUUUCUCGCCUAUUAAAAAAAAAAGAAAAACUUAGGAAUGAAUGUCUAUUUACCUCAUUCUUGGGAUAGUGGAUAUUAAAUGUUUUCUGCAUUCAGGAAGCUUAAAGGAAGUUGAGAUAGGAAAAAAUGCAAGAGCUAUGGAAUUUGUGAGAGGAAUUAAUGAGGAUAACUGAAGGGGUAUUUUGAGUGGUGCCUCCACUUGCUUGCCAUCAUUUUGAGCAGGGUGCUGGUAUUGUUUGUGUAAAUAUUCUUUGCAACAAUGUUUAGCUACCGGGAGUUAAUUUAUAUACAGUGGCUUGACCGUGACAAGAGGCAAAUGUAGCCUUUUAACUACGAGUUCACCUGAACCCAAGUUUUUGUGACACAGAGUUUAUAUACAUUAUGUGAAAACACAGUAAAAUUUUAAUAAAUAUUAGAUCUGAACCUAUAAUUUUUAUAUUACAAUGAUUUCAGUGCUAAGAAUCUUAAAGGUUGAAAACAUCAAGUUUAAAUCCUAGAUCCACCUCUGUUGCGACAGGAUCAAAAUAUAUGCCAUACCAUAUGCUGUCAAAAGGCACCUCAAUUACUUUUAACCAUACACCAAAAAUAAGAAAAGAAGAAGGAAAAAAAAUUAAAAUUUUACUUUUGUAUUCUUGUUUCGUGUUCAUCACAUGUACGUAUUUUAUGGAUUUCAGCAAAAUCUUUUCAGCAUAUAGUUACAUGUUAUUUGGGGCCCCAGGUGAAGGUUUUCUACAUUGACGUCCCCUGCAACUGUUUAUGUCAGAGGACAUGAAGAGGACUUACACCAUUACAAUGAUAGGCUGCCUUUUUAAGUCAUGAGCUGAUGUUACAUGCCCUUCAUUAUGCUUGAUUUUGGAUGCAUUACUGAUUAACAACAACAACAACAACAACUACCCAGUAUAGUCCCACAAAGUGGGGUCUGGGGAGGGU
rnacentral:lncRNA from 1 species